GCUGGGUGUGAUGGGAGGCAUCUGUGGUCCCAGCUACUUGGGAGGCUGAGACGGGAGGAUCACUUGAGCCCAGGAACUCAGGGCUGUGGUGAGCCAUGAUCAUCCCACUACACUCCAGCCUGGGUGACAGAGUGAAAUCCCGUCUCUA
rnacentral:sRNA from 1 species